rnacentral:ribozyme from 1 species
CACAAACAAAAAGAACGAAAGAAGGACGGAAGGGAAGCAGCAAGGGAGACCGAACGAGACAGUCAGUGCCGUUUCUUUCUUUCUUUCUUUCUUUCUUUUCUUUCUUUCGGCAUCGCCCUGUCAGUCACUCUGCCAACACAAGGGGGGAAAGAAGGUGACACAUGAUUACGGUGAAGAUAAGUCAA